rnacentral:rRNA from 1 species
UGAGCAAUCUGCCCUUCUCUUCGGAAUAAGCGUUGGAAACGACGUCUAAUGCCGAAUACGACCUCCUUUCGCAUGAUCGGAGGUGGAAAGCUCCGGCGGAGAAGGAUGAGCUCGCGGCCUAUCAGCUAGUUGGUGUGGGUAAUGGCCCACCAAGGCGACGACGGGUAGCCGGCCUGAGAGGGCGAUCGGCCACGCUGGGACUGAGACACGGCCCAGACUCCUACGGGAGCAG